AUUGAACGCUGGCGGCAGGCUUAACACAUGCAAGUCGAACGAGUGGCGGACGGGUGAGUAAUGCUUGGGAAUCUGGCUUAUGGAGGGGGAUAACGACGGGAAACUGUCGCUAAUACCGCGUACCAUAGGAUCAGCCCAAGUGGGAUUCGGUAGUUGGUGGGGUAACGGCUGACCACGCCGACGAUCUCUAGCUGGUCUGAGAGGAUGACGAGCCAGACUGGGACUGAGACACGGCCCGGACUCCUACGGGAGGCAGCAGUGGGGAAUAUGGGGCAAUGGGGGCAACUUGAAGGAGCCAUGCCGCGGGAAUGAAGAAGGCCUUCGGGUUGUAAAGCUCUUGCGGUGACGAGGAGGUAAUCACAGAGGAAGCAAAGGAUAACUCCGGGCCAGCAGCCGCGGUAAUUC
rnacentral:rRNA from 1 species